rnacentral:tRNA from 1 species
GGUCUGCUAGCUCAACCGGAUAGAGCAACUGCCUUCUAAGCAGUAGGUUCCAGGUUCGAGUCCUGGGCGGAUCA